CCCAGAUACAUAAAGAACUCCUACAAUGAGCAGAAGAUCUGCAGCAGGCAUUUCUCAGAGGAGAUCACAGGCACACAGAGAACGUGGGAAGAGAUGCUCACCUUCACUAGUGUACACGGAUGUGCACACUAAGAUCUCAGUGAGCUGUGAUCGGAUGCCCUCUAGACUGGUCAAAAGUAAGACAUCUGACAGCACCAAGGGCUUGAGUGGGUAUAGACCACCUGGGACACAUAAGCAGUGUUGAUGAGAGCGUCAACUGGUCACCACUUAGGAAAUCACACGGGCAUUUUCUUGUUAGGCUGACCAUUUACACACCUUCUAACCCUGCAAGCCCAGCCCUACGCAUUACAGAAGAUAUGUACAAGAUCUCCUAGCAGCAUUGUUAAUAACAGAAAAAAAUAAAAUGGAAAUGACCCAAAUACUCAUGGAUAGGAGAAUGCAAAAAUAAGCUGUGGAAUAGUCACAAUUUAUUUUCACACCGUUGAAAAUAAACUACAGCUACACAAGACAGCAUGGAUGAAGCUUAGAAACAGUAAAAUGUUGAGUAAAAAAUGCAAACCUUAGAAGUCUCUACAUAGUAUGCCAUUUUACAAAGCUCAAGAACAAACAAAACAAUAUACUGCUUGGACAUAUGCAGUAGACUUAUGAGCAAGAGAAUGACAAACACACACAACAUUCAGGACAGUGGUGACUUCCAAGGUACGACAAGAUGCAAACACACAGAUGCAAAUUAUUGAGAAGGUUCCAGUUCUGGAGUGAGUGGUGUGUUCACAGAUGCUCAUAAUUUUUUAUCUUUUAUAAUGUAUAAAACACAUUAAAUUUUUAAAAGAUACGAGCAAAGGAGAAAAAAGAGGAGGAACACAGUGUGGAUCCAGACAGAUCCAGUAUGAUGUCCCUGUCACACAGCUCACUGUUUUCACUUUGUGUCACGAUGGGUACCCAGAAGUCUGUGGAGAGGUCAGACUACGAGGCAGAAGGACUGGAAACUGGAUGAGGGCAUUCCCUCCCCUGGGCAUCAGUUUCUCCAUAUGCAAAAUAAGGGGAUUUACCAGGAAUGACAAAUGGCUGGCAUGUAUAGCAUAGAUCUCCCUUUCCUUACCCACUGCAGACAUUACUAAUGGAUUGCAGCACUCUGUCAUGCUGAGCACUUAUACAGCUUUGGAUUCCUUCUCAGCUUGGCACCGCAGGCUGCCAGGGAUGGUGGAUAAGAGAGAUGGCACACACGGUGAUACCUACUUGCUGACCUGGAGAGUCCAUCCAGCUCUGGGCUUGGAAUUUUGAAGCCAGGCCAGUAGGUACCAGUACUCUGAAAGGCAGUCCCUCUCAGGGAGCAGCCCGCUGGCCCUGGAGCCGGCCCUGGCCAGACCUUGGCAGGUGGAACCUCGGCUUUGACAGCGCCCACGCCCAUGGCUUCCAGUCUCCUGGAGCCCCCUGCUGCCCACCCACCAUCCCUCCAGGCCUCCGUGCUCCCACCUGCUGGGCAGGCUCACGUCUACCCCAUGCCGGUGGGCUUCGCUGACUUGACAACAGCUCGACUGGCACAGAGGGCCAGGCGGGAGCUCAUGUCACCAUCUACCCCAGAGGGCACUGGGAGUGCCCACUGUGCCUUAUCAACCAGCCUCCCCUGCAGAAGGACAGCAUUCCUCCCACCACCUUGCCUCCUCAGGCCUCCAGGCCUUUCUUUUUUUUUUUUUUUUGGAGGAAGAUUAGCCCUCAGCUAACUACUGCCAGUCCUCCUCUUUUUGCUGAGGAAGCCUGGCUCUGAGCUAACAUCCGUGCCCAUCUUCCUCUAGUUUAUACGUGGGACGCCUACCACAGCAUGGCUGCCAAGCAGUGCCAUGUCCGCACCCGGGAUCCGAACCAGCGAACCCCGGGCCGCCGAGAAGCGGAACGUGCGAACUUAACCGCUGCGCCACCGGGCCGGCCCCUGGCCUCCAGGCCUUUCGAGGCCCCCAUCUUCCCUCCACUCAGGGCCUCAGCUGGCAGGAGUCCCCCUUGUCCGCACUGCCCAGCUCCUUCCUCCCCAGCGGGGGUCAGCGUGCCCUCCUGCAGACAGCCACACCAGAGUUCAGCUUUCUCACGGAGAACGUAUGUCUGGGGCCAGGUUCUGUGGGUGUCUGUCCCCCACUUUGGGGAGCCCCUCAGAGACCACCUAAUGAUUGGCAUGAAAAUAAUAAUGCCAUCAGGAACAACAAAGAUUCCUUGGAGUCAGUGGACUUUUUGAAACACUCUCUUACUGUUGCACCAGUGUCACAGCCAGUGAAGUCCGCAGUGAGGGACACACUUCACUCCCAUGGUGACAACGAGAAAGUCAGGGCCACAAAGGGGAGAGACUUUCUAGCAUCACUGUCCACCUGCCCACCUCCUGGGAGGCCGGGAAAGCUUUUCUGCCACAUUCCAUCAGGGCCCUGAAACGCCCCGUCCUGCGUGGACACACCUUCCCUCCCCCAGGCCAGGGACUGCUGAGCGACCACAGUCCCAAGUCCCUGAGCAUCCUGCUCCUGCAGAUUAUUUCAGUAACGAGAUUGUAUCGAGGGACAUUAUAUCCAGUGACGUGGUGUUUCUGGCGAUUCAUCUCUCUUCCGUUUUAUUCAUCUUAUGCAAAUUUUAAAUGACUGCUGGGGCUGCGUGUGCAGGAAGUCUUGGUUCGCUAGAAGGAACUGUGGUGGGUUCUUAGAAGACAAGGAGAGGAACUUAAGGCAUCUUGCCGUCUCCAAGGAGCGGAGUGGAGACAAAGGCGUCUCUGACUGCUUCGUCCUGGAACAAAGCGCCAGCACGCACCCACAUGUGGCCCGGGGGACCCCUGAUCGGAGUCUGCCAUGGAUGCCCACUGUGUGGAAGGGCCUGGAACCUGCUAUGAUCAUCACUGUCCAUAGACUCUGAGGAGCAAACACCACGCGCCACUUUUCACUUGCAAAGGCCCAGAAACAAGAAUGCUUGUGUUCCCAGGAAUACAGAUGCCAGAUGUUCACUUCUGGUCCAAACUCAUCGUCUUUUGAGCCUUGGAAACUUUGGGCACACUGCUUCUACCUCUACCAUCUCCCACCACACUCCCCCAGCAAGUUCCCCACCUGGACAACUCCAAUGCCUCCUCAAAACCCGCUCUGAUGCCUCCUCCUCCAGGCAGUCUCCCUUGCCUUCCUUCCAGCCUCUUUCAUAUACUCUUAUUAUGCUCUUUUAUCCUGGCUGGAAUGAUCACAGUGGGUUCGAAUGCUGCUGCUUGCAUGUCUGUCUCCCCUACCAGGGGGUGGGUUUGUGGGAGCCGGGCUUAUGGCUGAUUCACCCCCGUCCCCUCCAGCCCCUCAGCACAGGCCCUGGCACAUAGUGAGGAUGGAGCAGAGCCUCAAAAAAGCAUGAGCCAAAUGCCUGAGCUCUGUCUUCACAGAACUUAGAGUUCAGUGAAAGAGAUCUAGUGACAAAGAAGGGGAAUUGAAGGUACUCUGAACACAGAUCAGGCAGUCCUUUCCUGAGUAGUUCACGUUUAAGCCGAGAUCUCACUGGUGAGUAAAUAUAAACCAGGCAGAAAUAGGCAUAAGCAACUUUCCGAAGAGAGAGAGUAACAGACCACGUUCCAAGGUGGGAGGGAGCGGCUCCUGUAAGUACUGAAAGCCUCCAGCGGAGAGACAGGGCAGUGAGGGAGAGCUUGUGGGCCAUGGGUACCAGUGAGGGGAGGCUGGAUUAUGCUGAGAACAAAUGAGUCCCCAGAUCUCAGGGGCCCACAGUCGGGUCUGUCUAUCUCUCGCGCUACGUGUCCACAUGGUUCUACUGCUUGUCGCCUUCCCUCUGGACUCAGGCUGUGGGACAGUCUGUCUGCAAUAUCGCCAUUGCCCCAGGAGAAGGAGAAGAAGUGACAAAGCGCACACCGGCUCUUUGCCGUUCCUCAGCCCCCUUGCCGUGCCCGAGAGCAACAAGGAGCAGGGCCGCCUAAUCCUCCAGCUGGGAGGAACCACAACAAGGGCACUGAGGGUGGCGAGCCAUCAUCCAGUUCCACACCACGCUUAUGAUUCUGAUGAUUAUCCUAGGAGCCAGGGAAAGCCACAGAAUACAUUCUCUAUUGGUAGCAAGUCACUCUGGCUGCAGCAAGGAGAACAACCCAUUGGAAAUGGGCAAGAGUGGAUUUGGGGAGAAAGAUUGGGAGGCCAUUUCAAUUCUCCAGGCCAAAAAAAGGACAAUCCUUUACUAGGGUCAUGGCAGUGGAAACGGGGAGAAACCAACAGAUUAAAAAGAUAGGAGGAUUGAGUGAUGUGCAAAGGGAAGCAGAGAGGAGUGGCUAGGUGGCCCCAGGGUCAGGGAAAGAACAGAGCAGGCUUGGUUCCUCAUGCCUUACCAGCCGCUGGCUCUGGUCACUUGGGAAGAGGAGUUAGCCUAUUCGCUGUUUGUUCUGGGGUUCCCUGUGUUCUCCUAAUAAAUCUCCCCCUCUUGCUUAGGAAAAAAUGCAUGAGCUAAAUAAAGGAGGGAACAAAUGGAUUAAUAAGGCAAUGAGCUCUGAGUGAACUGACAAAUGAGUGACAGAGUGACCAGGGGAAUUCAUUCAUGUCCCCAGAUGUUCAAAGGAUGAAGAGAACCUGGACUCAACCAGAAGAAAAAGGAAGUCAUCUCCGCUGGGCAUGCCUCAGAGGGCCCCCCCCCCCCCAUACCUCAGGGUCUCCACUCCUCCAGGGAGAUGACCAGUUUCAGCUGCGACAGAGAAAAGAGGGGUGGGCUGGGGGGAGAGGGGAGGGACAGGGAGGAGGGCGAUGGGCGGGUCCGUGGGAGCUCGGCAUCAUCCUCUCCUCCGUCCAUGUGGCCUCCCUGCGUUUCCCUUUCAGAGUCCACAGCUUGACCAUCCGUGGUGGACAGGCUUGGGAGUCACCAACAGCCCAAGAGAGAUUUUCUGUCUCAGCGGCAGCACUGGGUAACCUCACAGAAACUCAGAGCCCAGGGUUCUCACAGGCUUAGAAGGCCCAGAUCCCCUUCUGCCCUGGGCCCCCUUGACAGCCACAAAGGGGAAGGAUUUCGAGGCGCAGCUGCGGGACCAUGGCCUUUUCUCAGCCCAGCCCGCCUUUGGAGCAUCGUGGUCACUGUCCGUGACACUCAUGGCUUGACUCAGAGCAGGAGACACGCUCUAAGACCGAACCACAGUGUGUCAGAGCUGAGGGGGCUCCAGGACCUCAUUUUCCCCAGCACCUUGCUUUGCAGAGGAGAAAGCAGAAGCCCAGAGAGGGGAAAGAAUUCCCUCAGGCCACACAGUGAGGGGCAGAGAGGGACUGGAAGCUAGCCUUUGGACAAAACUCACUGCCUUUGGAAGGCUCCUGGGUGAUGCUCCCUUCCCGGCACAACUAACAGGCCUGAACACUCAGAGUGGCACACAGAAGGUGCUCAGUGGACAUUUGUGGACUAAAUGAUUAUAAUGGGACAAAAAAAGCAGGCCAUGAAACUGGGAGUGGACCUCAAAUCCUGUCUUCCAACAGCAAGUCCUGCUCCUCUUUGGUAUGGGUGAAGUGGGGCUGGGAAAGGAGGCGGGGCGGGGGGAAGCAGUGCGGGCACAAAUCCUUUGUAAAGAGAAAAUAAUGGGGUGUGGGAAGCCCAUAGGAGCAGGCUCAACCCAGAAAUCAGGUACAGACGAGAGUGGCAGUUGGACACUGGCCUCGCUCCAUCUCCCACGUAGGGAAUGGGGAGCAGUUAGGGUUAGAAUCUUGGGGGAAGAGAAAUUCUUUUUCUGUUGGGCUGCUGAGGGGCGAUGAGCCCAGCCUGUAACUGUUGGUGGCUAUCUUGCUUUCAUCAACAGAAAGCCCACCUGAGAAGGACACCAGCACAGAGGGGAGUGAGCCAGGCCGAGAGGCUGGGAGAAGCUAUUCCUGCUGAUGGCAUCAAGCACCCAGGCUGUCAGCUAUACGAGAAUGGAGACCUCUGCCUGCUUCUCCAGCUGCUGUGCCCUGUGUCUCGAGCCAGCCAAGCAGGCAGCAGGGCCUCAGUGACAUGCCCUGAGCAAGUGAACACUGCAGACCACAAACAAGCACAUUUCCGGGAGUGCUAAGCGUUGUCGUCUCAUUCGCUGUUUAUGGAGCCCCUCUCUGUGUCCGGCCCUGACCUUGGCUUGAGGCACGGACUCAGCGAAGGAGACAAACUCUGCUGCCCCCAUGGAGCCGACAUUGCAGACGGGGACAAAGAGUGAGCAGAGCACAGCAGAGCCCACGGUGUGCACGCAGCCAGGAGCGUCUUCUCCAAUGGAAGCCGAUCGUGUCACUCCCUGCUCUUGGAUCCCCUGCUCCUUAGAACAAAACCCAAAGGCCUUCCUGUGGAACUGAGCUUGGACUAAUGAGGGAGAUCAGAGACAGCCACUGGCCCAGCCAGUCAAGGCCCACAGCUCACACAAGAGGAGAAAGUCUCACUAGCAGAGCAUUCUGUUACCGGAGCUGACAGCUUUCCAGGCCACGAGCUGCGGGAUAUUUAAGUUUGGAGACGCAGACCAAAAUGCACCAGUGAGAAGUGGUCCCAGAAACAAGGGGUGCUGCUCCAAACCCCCACUCCCCAGCCUCAUUCCCCACCUCUGUCUUGUAUGUGCCUAACACUCCAGCUUCCUUCUGUCUGGGAUGCCUCCUCUCCAUAUCUUGUGGUCAGAGCCGUGCAUCAAGGCCCCGCUAGAUGCCACCUCCUUCAAGACGCUGUCCCGAUACUGGCAGCAGCAGGUGAGCGUGUGCUGUGCUGUGACUGUCCUUCCUUUGUACCGGUGCACAGGUGACUGUACCGUAGUUAGGUCCCUGUCUUGUCUUCCCAGCUGGACUGUGCCCUUCGGGCAGGACCUGUGUCUGAUUCAUCUCUGGGAGCCCAAUGGAGUUUGGCCAAGUGCCCGGCAUUUCGGCUUCCCAGAGAGGAAACCUCAUGGGCAGAGUAUCUGGGGGAAACUGAACAAUUCACUAUGAGUAAAGUGCAAGGAAUGGAUGCUAGUGAAAAGCUCUGCAGGGGGACAGGUCAUAGAGGGUCCCGAAAGCCCACUAAGGCACUGGGACUCUCCCUGAAGGGAAUGAGAGCCAUGGACAGAUCUCAAGGAGAACAACACUCACUGACCACACAUCGGGUUGUUUGGCGUAAAGAAAACCAAAACAGGGGACAUGAAGGGGGAGCGACAAGACUCCCAGCCUGUCCCUAGCCCUCCUCUUACUUCCCCUGGCCCUGCUCUCAGUGUGCGAAGGAAAAUCUUCUCUGACUGGUCAGAUGCUGGGACUGUCCCUGGGCAGUCUCGAGAGCAUGCAGAAAGACUCUGCACAUAGUGCCACCCAGCCUCACGAGAAACAGCCAGGGGCCUCCUGGACAUUCCUCAGCUUCUUAGGAGCCCAUGCAGAAGCUCCCUGAUAGACAUCUGAAACGAUAAAUUCACCGCCUAAAAUGGAAAUACCAGGGAAAGCCCUGGGCACCUGGAACUUGCCUUUUAGAAGCCACCUUUCCGCCAUCCCCUCCAUCUCUCUGGGCUGCUGUCUCUUACCAUGAAUCCUCCUCUACCCCCCAGGAUGUCUGGCUUCCCGUGGAGCUCCCCUGGAACCUUGAGCAGACUGAACAGCCCAGACCUCGGUCAGGACUCUUAGAGGGAGUGCUCGGUGCACUGUUACAAAAAGGAGGAAUCAUCAUGGUGGAAGGGCCAACUCCUGCGUUAUAGCCAGAAAACUCAGCUGCACAUGGGAGGGACCCUUAGGCCGCUUUGACCCUUAGGCCCACACCAGCGCCACUUCUCUGACUCUGCACACAGACUGGUUCAUGGGACUUUGUUAUCUAUUAUGGACCGCUUGGUUGUAGUUAAGAAAGGCCACAGGAUCAGAAGUUUCCCUCACUCCUGAAAAUGUUAGGGAAUGUUAGUAUGCAGUUUCUGCCUUUCUGACCUCACUAUGGCUCACAGCCUUUUCCCUUCAGAACCACACUAGUUGCUGCUGAGAGUUCCCAUAGUAAUUCUAAGUCACUUUUCCAUAUAGUUGUUCUGAUUAACUCCAAGUACUACAUCACUACCUGCUUCUCAAACUGGAGCAUGCGCAGCCCCAAUUCUGCGCAGAGAGGAUGCAAGACAGCGUAUCUGUGAUACAUCUUUCUGGAGCAUCAGGUUUUUUACAAGACUUGGAAAACCAAGUACUUUAUAAGAACCAUCUCUCCUCCCCACAAACAUGGAAGAAAAGAUGGAGAGGACAGGGGAGGGAAGAAGUGCCCCAGGAAAAGCAGUCCAGCCCCUGAAGUUUCACCCUGGUGGGGGCCAAGGGGCAGACCUGCAGCUAGGGUGGCCUCUCCUCGUGUCCCCCAGGCGCCUCCAGCCCGUCCUCUAAGUUCACCAAGUAUUUUGGAUAUAAUGCUUCUGAAGGCCAUGGAGGUGCCAGACACCAUUCUGAUGUGAACCCAGAGCAGAGAAUACCAAAGCGGUUUGCACACCUCCAUCGUCCACUGGACCAAAUCCUCUCGCCCGCACAUCCGUUCACAUAUAGCGUGUACUUCUUGUACAGCUCCCACUUGCAGCUGAAUGUGUCCAGCCUCUGGCCGAACUCCCACACCACAUUGCCAGGCUCUCUGGAGCUCCACAUCUUGCUCUCCAUUUAAAAUGCAGGGGUGCCGCUUGACCUCCCCACAAUCUUUGAUUUGAACCCUGCCAUGAGAUUAAAUUGGCUUCACUCUAUUGUGUUUGCCAUACUGGUUGCUGCUGAGAAGACAAAAACAGAAGCAUCUUAGAAAGUUUAAGAAUCUCCCAGCAGCCCCCCACCAGCCAGAGGGAGAGGCUGGGGUCACCCCAUCAGGCUCCCCAGUGUGGAGGGAAUUUCCAUUGCAGGUUCUCUCUGGGGCUCCUGUUGCUGGUGCUGUGGGUGGAGGAGAAGGCCCCAGGGCCACGCUGGGGGCUUGGACUCGGGGUGGGGGUCCUCGACUCCAGUCUGAGUGGGGGACUGGCAGGCUCCUGGGUGGGCUGCUGAUUUUCUGCCUCAUGGAGCCAGGUGGGUUUGGCUUUAUUGCGUUUCACUGGGAGUGCAGAGACCUUCGGCUGCACCUUGAGGCUUAGGGAGGAGCUGCAGCUCUUGGGGUGAAUGGAAGCGGAGGACCUCAUAGAGAUGGUGUGGCCCUCCAUCUUGGGUUUCUUGGAGCUCAGGAUUAGGUAUGUUGCCAUGACACUGUCAAAUCUCCUUUUCCUUAAGGAAUCCUGGAUCUUGUCCCACUCAAAGCCCAUGUCCAUCAUCACCUCUAUCACCCCGAGGUCCCUGUUGUCACAGGGCAGCUCCCCAUAAGGCCUGAGUUUCUCCUGGCCCAUAUUAACCCACGGGUCCUUCAUGAUGUCUUUUAAACUUUUUCUCUUGCUGGGGUCAAGGGUCAUCGUUUUCUUUAGGAGUUUUCUGCAUUUAAAGGAUAAGAACACAGGAAGCAGGCAUUGCCUUCUCAGUACCCUCGCUUCACUGGAGCGAAGUCGUCUCCUGGGAAAGGCCCGGCCCCAGUGAGCAUAACGUGAAGAACCACCCCAAGGCUCCAGACGUCUGCCCAGCAGCGUAGUCCUGGCAAAAGAAGACUUCCGGGUCAGUGUGACAGGAGCACCGCAGUGCAUCCUCAGCUUCCGGCCAAGGGUCACGGUGCUCAGAACAGAGUCCUCGAGCUUUACAUUCAGCUCAGCGUUCAGAAGUACGUUCUCCGGCUUCAGGUCCCUGUGGACGAUGCCUCUGUGGUGGCAGUACUGGAGGGCCGAGCUGAGCUGCCUCAGGCUGCCUCAGGCCUCCUCCUGCGUCGUGGGGCCGCGCUUUGCUACGUAAUCCGGCACGUCUCCUCUGCUAACAUGCCCCGGGAUGAGCAACGAUGUUUCCUCUGUGUCGAUGACCUCCAAUAACUUUGCGAAGUCUGGGUGAUUGCAGGCCCUUAGGGUGUAGACUUCACGGAAAAGCUUCUUGUUUCUGUAGAAGCUCUGCUGAGGCUUCUCAAUGAUUUUUACAGCCACUUCUGUCCCAGUCGGGAUUUCCCGCCCCACCUUCACUGUGGUGAAGCUCCCUUCUCCAAUGGUAUUGAGGAGCUCGUAAUUGUUAAUACGGGUCGUCUUGUUAGCAGAGGUGGCCUCGAGGCCCAGAAGCAUGUGACCUGCUAACUACACUAACUGACAAUACUAACUAACAAUGCUAACUAUGCUAACAAACAAAACUAUAGUAUGCUAAUAUUAACUAAUGAUCCUAACAAUGCCACCUAUGCUUACUAUGCUAAUAAGUAAUACUAACUAUACCAAGUAUGCUAACUAUAUUAACUAUACCAACAGUACUAACUCUACUAGCAAUACAAAAUAAAAAAUUUAAGGAGGGGCCAGCUGGGUGGUGCAGCGGUUAAGUUUGCGCAUUCUGCUUUGGGAGCCCAGGGUUUGCUGGUUUGGAUCCUGGGUGUGGACCUACACACUGCUUGUCAAGCCAUGCUGUGGUAAGCAUCCCACCUAUGAAGUAGAGGAAGAUGGGCAUUGAUGUUAGCUCAGGGCCAGUCUUCUUCAGCCAAAAAAAAAAGAAAAGUAGGAGGAUUGGUGGCAGAUGUUAGCUCAGGGCUAAUCUUCCUCAAAAAAAAAUUUAAGGAAAAUGAGAAAAAGAACCAGAAAACAAAGAAAAAAGAAAAAAUAAGAAAAGAACAAAGAAAAAUUGAGAAAAAGAGAAAAAAGUGUGAAAAAUAAAACAAGAAAAAUGAGAAAAAGACAAAAAGAAUUUUAAAAAAUGAGAAAGGAGAAUAAAAAAAUUAAAAAGAAAAUAGAGAAAAAUAAGAAAAUAAAAACAAUAGAUAAAAAAGAAAAAAUAAACAAAAUGGGAUGGAAAAAAAAAGAAAAAAGCUCACUGCGGUCCAAGUCCUACAGGUCACCAAAAAUUAGCUUCCUGGGCUGUAAGGAACAAAAACCCAAGCCCAGCCAGAGACUUUAUAGGUGUUUGUAAUUCCAUCAUGGUGGAUCCUUAUGAGCUCUGGGCAAGAAAUGGACCAAUCAUGGCAGGGGAUAAACUACAGUGUUUUUCUUACUUUUUGGUCUCAACACCCCUUUACUGUUUAAAAAACAAAAAAGGACCCCAAAGAGCUUUUUAUUUAUGUGGGAUAUUAGAGAGUGAUAUUUAUUAGAAAUUAAAAUCUGUAAGAUGCUUCAGUGGCCUUUUCAUUUCUAAUUUAAAAAUCUGUAAUAAUUUUUGGCUUUUAGAGGCCUCACAGUGUCUACACUUAAAAUAUUUAAUUCCUUGUCCUUCAACUCUGAUUAGUCUCAAAAUGAUCCCACAACUUAAAGGAUGUUAUAAUACUAUAGGAAAAUGUUCUGUUGGUGAGACACAAGAAGGGACAUCAUUGAUGUUUAUAAAGCUGAGAGGAAGAGAGCUUUCAUCAUAUUUUCCGCAGUAAGAUCACGAGCAGAUUUCUCAUCAGAAACCUUGGAGGCCAGAUGGCAUGGGUUGAUGUAUUCAAAAUGCUGAAGGAAAAAAGAAUCCAACCAAGAAUCCUAUAUCUGGCAAAACUGUCCUUCGAAAAUGAGGGGAAAUGAAGACAUUCCCGUAUAAACCAAAGCUGAGGGAGUUCUUCACACUAGACCUGCCCUCCAAGGAAGGGAGUCCUUCAGGUUGAAACAAAAGGACACUGGACAGUAACUCAAUGCCUUGGGAAGAAAUAAAUAUCUCCGGUCAAAGUAUGUGGAUGAUUAUAAAAACUAGUACUAGUGUAACUUUGGUUUGUAGCUCCACUUUUUGUUUUCUACGUUAAGAGACUAAAGUAUUAAAAAACCCAAUUAUUAGUAUAUGUUUUUGGACACACAUCCUAAAGAUGUAACUUUGUGACAUUCAUAACUGAAAUGGGGAGGAGUCAGGGCUGUAUAGGAGCUGAGUUUCUGUAUUUUACUGAAGUUAAGCUGGUAUAGAUUGACGUUAGAGUGUUACAACUUUACGAUGUUGAGUGUAAUCCCAUGGUAACCACAAAGAAAAAAGCUAUAGAAUAUAGACAAAAGAAAAUGAGAAGGUAAUUAAAUUGCCCUUUCAGUAAUUGUACAAACAAGCUACAUGGCCCUGUCAGCACAGAAAUCCCACGGGACGGCUUCUCUCACUGAACCAUCUCUGCAGAUUGCAGGAGGCCAUCCUGUGCCCCUUUCCUAUGUCUGCUGUGUCAGUGACAGUGUUAUUGAUGUUGUUUUUCAAGCUAAUUGACAGUCUGGUGCAGGAUAGUUUCUCCAGGAUGCCAUAAAGCAGUUGUCAGCUGUCUUGAAGGCUCUGGCUGUCCACAGCUCUCACCACAGCUACACAAUGCCUGCCAGGGCCACAGGCCACCUCCCAUCUCACCACAAGUGCAAAAUUAGAAAUAACACCAAUGACAAUGAUGAUGCGUGACACUCCUUACGUCCCAAGCCCUGAGCUGGGCCCUGACGCAUGUUAUUAAUGAUUUUCAAAGCAACCUAGCCGGUCCAACAUGGUCCUCACUGCAUAAAAGAUGGACUGAGGCUCCUGGAGUUUGCGUUAACUGCCACGGUCACGUGACCAGCUGGCACCAAGGCACGUUUUGAACCCAGAUUUGCUGAUUCUAUCCACUCCACCCACUCCUUGCUACGCCACGCUCCUGUCACAACGUCAACAGCCAGCAUGCAAACCAGCCUCUGUCCAUCAUGUUAGAAGUCAGGACAGAGGUUACUUGAGGGCAGGUGACGGAAACGGGCCGUGGGGGCUUGUGAGUGCUGACAACAUUUGCCUCCUGAUCCAAGUACUGGCUAUUCAUUUGGGAUAGUGUGAUUUAUGAGAAAUAAAUAUUUGGUCAUUCAGAUGAGCAAAAUAUAUUUCUUAUAUAUAUUUGGCCUUCCUCUGUGGUUCCUGGCUUACAGCUCCCAAAGCCCUUUGAAUUUUCUGAGAGAGAAAAGCAAUGGAAACAUCUUUUGUUAUAAUACUGGGUCUCUUGUCCUCCAUUCCUGAAAUUGCUUCAGAGCCAUAAAGGUGAAAUGGGUGACUUGUUAUUCAUAACAAGCCCCUUUCUACCACGAUGGGGUUUAUGUUAAUGAAGUGACUUUUAUAAAGCCCCUAAGGAUGAGGACUGGUUUCCAGGGGAACCAACCUUGAUUAUAGGGCUGGAACUUUCAGUGGUCCCCCCCCCCACCCCACCCCCCCCCCCCCGAUUUGCAGGGAGGGGAGAGGGACUGGAGGUUGAGUCAAUUACCAAUGGUCAGUGAGCUAAUCAAUCAUGCAUACAUAAUGAAGCCUCGUAAAAAGCCAAAACGCAAAAGAGGUUCAGAGAGCUUUCAGGUUGGUGAACCAGAACCCUUCCAUGUGCCACCUGCUGCCCCAAACUCUACGAAGAUGUCUCGGACUAGUUACCCGGAGGAGGAACUCAAGGGUGGGUUUGGACAUUUUAAUUGUUUUUCCAAAUUUAUUUUUCUCCUUUUGCUAUGGUAAGGAGAUGCAAUCACCAACCUCCCUGAGACAGACCAAGCCUCACCAGAGAGCUAGGCCUAUGACCUUUGCCUUAUUUUUAAUGCUAAGAUCUCCUCUCCAGGAGGAGCUUGGGCCCUAUCACCAUAACCUGCAGUGUAUGUGGAAGUAUGUUUUCCUACUGAGCCCGCGCAAGCGAAUACCCACCUCUCCCUUUUGAAUAGUCAUUCCCCAACCAAAACAAAAGAUCCCUGCUUCCCUUUGUUUAGGGACACCAUGACUUUGGAAGUGAUUCCUCAUGUUCUCCUAUUUGCUGCAAAUAUACCUUACUUUGUGAGACUACAUCUGGUGGAGAGUCUGAUUUUACUCAGUGGGAGGGAAGCCACUUUGGUUUCAGUAAUAAAUUGGCAUAGCUCAGGGCCAGUCUUCCUCAGAAAAAAGAGGAGGAUUGCCAGAUGUUAGCUCAGGGCUAGUCUUCCUCAAAAAAAAAAAAAAUAAAUAUAAUAAGGCCGGCCCGGUGGUGCAGCGGUUAAGUUCCCACGUUCCGCUUCUCGGCAGCCCAGGGUUCGCUGGUUCAGAUCCUGGGUACGGACAUGGCACCGCUUGGUAAAAGCCAUGCUGUGGUAGGCAUCCCACAUAUAAAGUAGAGGAAGAUGGGCAUGGAUGUUAGCUCAGGGCCAGGCUUCCUCAGCAAAAAGAGGAGGACUGGCAGUAGUUAGCUCAGGGCUGAUCUUCCUCAAAAAAACCCCACCAAAAUUGGCACCCUGUGGGGCUUACCCCUUUGUGCUGCCUGUGCCACCGCUUGAUGUUGCCACCCCAUUGGGAGACCCAGUGGUCGCACUGAGUACUUUGCUUGGAGGAUCUCUCAAUGGAGGAGAGGGUCACCAACCCCACGACACAGCUAUAAGAGUUAUUUCUUUAAGUUGUCUCACAAAGCCUGCCUGUUGGGGUCUGGCUUCAGAGUUCGAGUCCCCGUCUGGGGGUAGCCUGGCUCAGGGGAGUGAGAUAUCCCCCUGAUUGGAGGGAUUGCACGACCCAGCCACUUCGGAAGGGCCGAUGCUCAGCUCUGGCAAAACAGGAGCAAUCCCUGUUGACUAGUCGGGGGAUCAAGUUCCCUCUGGAGAUUAGUCUCCUCUGGAGUGAUGAGGUGGGAUUAAACUUCCCCUGACGUCACUGAAUCUGUCUUUGUGUUGUGCCUGCGAUCGGAGGAGGGGUUGCCUUAGAUGGGGUCAAGCCCCCUCUGGAGUUGCUGAGUCUGUUUUUGUUUGUUUCUUUCUUUUUGUCAAGGACGCUCGACAUCAACUGUUUUGUCAAGGAUGAUUGACAUCAAUCUUGUUUUCCCACAAUCUGGCUUUUCUGGAUUCUUAGGUCUCCUUUUUUUCCUGGCCCUUCCUAUCAGUGGUCCCUGAGUGAAACUCAGCGUCCACCAGUUUCAUUUUCCCUUUAAGGAUUUAGUUACUCACCCUGGGUCUAGUUUCAGGCUAUUAGGGUGCUAAACCUUCUCUGGGCACAACCUUGUGGCAUCUGUGUCAUCAGUAACCAUUACAACUUGCUCCUGGCAGGUUGGAAACAGACCAUAAGAAAAGAUGCUAGGAUAUGGAGGGAGCAAGCUCCAUCUCGGAGGAAAGCCCCUUGGGCUGCAUCCUCCAGAACUGGAAGGCCUCCAGGUAUUCCCCAUUGACCUGAGAGCAGAUGAUCUUUUUAUGUAACACAGCCUGACUGCAAUAUCCCCUGGAAUAUGGGGAAAAUGCCCAGAAAAAUGGGACCCUAAAAGUUAACACCAUACUACAGUUAGAUCUAAUUUGCAAAGGAACCAAGAAAUAGGAAGAAAUCCCUUGUGUCCAGUGCUUCAUGGCACUAUGUCUAAAUGAAGGGUCAAAAGUUGAAACUAAGACUCCAGAAAUACUUCCCAUAUUACAAGAUCUUUCUGAUGAGGAGGACCUAUUCCUCCAAAUCAGGAAACAGGGGACUAAGGAAAACCCACCUCAGAGUCCACAUCGCUCACAUACUCCAGCUUUGGCCCCACCAUUAGACCAGCUAGUGAGCCCUGAGAGACCUCCACCUUAUUCCCCUCCCUCACCCCUGCUCAAGCCAAACCCUUUACUGUCCCCCCACCCCCACCCCGAGCAAUCCCUCUAGAGGGAAUUGGACUCUACAACAAGCAAAGACCCUUCACCCUCCCCUUCCUGAUAGUACAACUAGAUUAAGAACCAGACACAAACCUGGGAUAGAUCCCCUGGAACAGGUGCCUGAUGGUGAGGGGAGACUUAUUAAUGUGCACAUCCUCUUUUCCACCUCUGAUCUGGAUGAUUGGAAGGCACAGACUAAAGGACUGAGCGCUGACCCAGAGGAGUUCAUAAACCUGAUGAAGGGAAUCUUCUCCACUCAUAGUCCCACCUGGGCAGAUGUUCAAAGCCUGUUGACUACACUCCAUGCCUGAGGAUAAGUCAUCUGUUCUGUUAAAAGCUAGAGAACAAGCAGAUAAUGAAUAUGACACAGGAUCAGACAUCCGCAGGCCUAGUGAGCAGGCUGUGCCAGGGAGUGACCCUGGGUGCAAGCCCAAUGAUCCCGAUGAACAAGAAAAGCUAGUAUAUUUUGGGGGUCUGCUUUUUAAAGCCAUGAAAAUAGUAAGGCAGCCACCCGUUAACUGGUCUAGAUUAAGAGAGGUCCAACAAGGCCCUGAGGAAAACCCCUCCGCUUUUUUUCAGAGGCUUUGGGACUGCCUCAGGUGAUAUAUAAAUUGGGACCCCAAGGCCUAGGGCAGUACAGUGGUUCUUAAUCCCUAUUUCCUAUCUCAAAGUGCUCCAGACAUCCAUAGGAAACUCCAGAAGUUAGCUAUAGUCCUGAUACUAAUCUUGCACAACCAGUACAGGCUGCAUGUAGGGUGUUUGGUAACCGGGAUGAAGCUGAGCAUGGAAAGCAAGACAAGAAGAUGAAAAGGCAAGCUGCCCUGCUAGCUGUGGCCCUCCAGCCUCCUCAAGGUAACCCGAGGGAGAGAAGGGAUAUGCCAUGGGUGAGUGACCUCGGCCCCCACCGAGGGACCAGAAGGCCACCAACAAAGUUGGAGGCUAAUCGGUUGUGCGUACUGCCAACGGGAAGGGCAUUGGUGGCAGGAUUGUCCAAACUGUCCCCAGAGAGGGAAGGGAUCGAAAAGACUGAGCCGUGGCAGCUUCCCUUGACUACAGAUGAGAUGUAAUGGGGCUGUGGGGCUCCCUGGUUGGUUCCAGGAGCCCUGGGUGACCUCGGCAGCAGGAGGAGAGCAUGUUGAAUUUUUGUUCAAUAAUGGAGCUAUAUUCUCAGUGUUGACAAGUAAAAAUGGCAAGUAAUAGGAUAUAUUGGAAUAUAUGAGGAAGCCAUUUGGUGUAAACCUAAUUCGGCCUGACCUUGUCUUUCCAAAAGGGCCUGACGUAGGCCGUUGAGCAUGCAUUGUAUAUCUGCGUUAGACAUUCCCUAUGGCAAGAGCAAAAGGCCCUUGAGAUAAAGGUGCAACUUCUCUCCCCCUCCCAAUGUUGGCAUCUCCUUAAAGAUUAAGCAUCUUUCUUUAGGCUGGGAACCGAUUGCAGCGCUCAUCUGUGACCCCCCAGCCCGAGGCAACACACCUGCCACCCGGCAGUGUUCACUGAGACAGCAGACCUAUCUGCCGUUUCCAUCAAUCACUGUGCUGACAGAGCAGCCUCGUGACUGUUGUGGGAGGGACAUUUCAAUCAUAUGUGAAACACCCUCUUUGAGGGUACAUAACCACCCUGUGUACCCCCACUUCUUUGGAGUGCUCUGUUCCUUUGUGGAAAGACUCUCCCGGGUUAUAAUCCUAAGAUUUAAGCUCAGAAUAAACUCACCCAAAUUUUCAUUUAUAGAUUGGUUAUGGAUUAUUUUUGUCGACAGUGUUGAGUGCCCCAGAGGGAACCCUUCCUAUAGGAAAGUGUGACAUAAAGGAGGUAUCAGGAAGAGGAGAGACCAAAAGAUUUCUGGAGCCCUUGACCUGUGAAAUGGGAUAAAAAAUGCUGAAGCAUUCUUUUCUGUACAUACCAAGAUGCGUUGAUCCCAUUCUAGGGAGGGACAGGCUAUCUAAGUUAGGGCCUCAAUAAGCUGGGAACAGGGGAAUAUAGAUUUGUUCAAAACUUUAGUAUGG
rnacentral:lncRNA from 1 species